GUCAACUACCCCGCCCUAAAGGGCGGAGCUUGCCUGCCUGCCGCGACGCAGGCAGGUGAAAGCAAGCUCGGUUGACCAGGGCAAGCGGUGCAAACCCGCUACGUGCAUCACAGGUCGUUAAGACCCACUCCGGGAUGCUUCCUCAGUCCCGGACUCUGGAAGGUUGGGAUCAUGCUGGCGAAAGGUAAAACGCCGAAGGUUUUAGCCGCCGCGCAAGCGGGAGCCGGUGAUGCACAUGCCCGAGGGGAGCGAGCC
rfam:Thiorhodospira sibirica ATCC 700588 ctg225, whole genome shotgun sequence.